rnacentral:lncRNA from 1 species
ACAUGUUUGAUAUGAUGCUUAAAAAAAUAUAUCCCCUCUAAAAAUCUAAAAGACUACAAUAAGACACCUUCCACUUAAAAUAUUAAGAAUCUCCAAUCCGGCCCAAGUAACAGGAUGUACCAGUUCAAGUCCCAGGCCUGGAUCGCCCAUAGCCCCUGGGAGGGGAGCUCUUUUUGAGAAUCUACUGGGCUGUGGGCCCCAACUGGGCAGUGAGAACUCAGCCAAAUAUGAGGAUCUUAAGUGGAAUUCCAAAUGCGCAUAACUUUCUCCAAGAGUGUGAUGCUCGCCCCAUUGAGUCCUGAAGACUGUUUGGUGAUGUGCUGUCUUGUUAUUAGCCAUAUAUCAAUUUGGGAUUUUCAGAACAUAUAUACUUUGGGGACCAGAUUUUACGAGAGAUGCUGAGAUUGUCUAAAUACCUUUUGUGGGGAGCUCGGGGAAGAAUCACUGAAUUUAGCUGGAUUCUCUGGAUCUUAACAUGGGAGGCUGAAUUCUUAAUCCAAGAAACUCGUGUGUUGAUGUAGUCGCCGGUAUCCAGGACUGCCAGCCAGGUAAACUCAGACACCAGCCCCUGUUAAAUACAGAUAAACUGCCGCUCAUGUCCUCCUGAUCCUAAGACUUUGCUGACCUCAGGCUGUAGCAGCUUCUCCAUUCCCAGAAGUCCCAGGAAGGACGUGGGCCCAGCUGUUGCAUUGCAAAGGGAGGGGGAUGUUGUAGCUCUCUGCUGUGCUGAAACAGCAAGGCCCUUCUUCUGACCACGUUCCAUUUUCUAGAAUGUUGAACACACUCAAAGAAGACGAUUUUCUAAGCCACACACUAAACCAAAUAACCAUAUUUUUCCUUUGGGUUGUAUUUAUAUUUCUCAGGCGGCUUUCAAGGCCCCCACCUAUCUAGAUAACCUCUCCUACCAUUCCUUUGCCCGGGAUUGCCUAUCCUGCCAGGUGUAUCCUGUGUGUGCUGUGCAGCUCAUCAGCUCAACCAGAUUAUCGUUUCCUUAAGAACAAGCACUCUGUCACUGAGUGAUCCAGUGCACAUUGAGAGAGGCAUAAGGCUAUGGAGUGGAGAGGCCAGGCUUUG